UUUCCGUUAGGUGAGGCUCCUAUACGAACAAUGCUGCUGCUCAGAAACAUCCAGAGAUGCCAAUGAGUCAACUGCGCUUGUCUACAAAGGCUUGCGCUAACGUAGCUGAAGAAUUUUUUCUAGGCGUAUAGUGCUAAAACUAAACGAUUGGGA
rnacentral:sRNA from 1 species